UCUCCACGUGUAAACUACGGAGGAAUGCUAUAUAUUAGGCAUAAAUAACGUUAGGGAGUGUUCAUCUUACAGGCCUGCCACACAAGGGCUUUCAGCGAUGAAGAAAAGAAGAGGAGAAACUAAGGGAAAAUCCGGGAAAUGAAGUCCAGAAAUUCCCUGAAGCAGAACUCUUUGUAGGACUUAGGAUGCUGAUCAUCAACAAGUUCCACUGCAGGACCCAUCUUUCUGUCCAUUGCAAAACUGUGAAGACUCACAAUGGAAAACCUCUUCUCAUCCCCAUUAACCGUUGCUCGGUGAAUCACACUCUUGUAUUGUCCAUUGCUCAUAACUUCCAUUUGGUCACCCAACUGCACCACAAGUGCUCCUUCAACGAACGGCACGGACAUCCAGUUGUUAUUUUUGUCCUUGAUUUCUAGGCCUGAACGAGUUUGGAGCAGCACAGUUAUGGAUCCGUAAUCAGAGUGAGGGUGGAUGCCUAAGUAAUACCUGUAAUUUGACGGAUUUGAAGGCCACAUGUGAAUCCAAUCCGAUAUUGGAUGAGAGUAGUGUUUGAUGAAAUCUCUCCAGCAGUAAACUUCAUCCCUGGCUUGAUUAAGGCUUGUUCCAUACCUCACAGGCAAUUCGAAUUUCAUUGAUGGUUGAUCUAGAAACAAGAGAUUGAUCACGCAAAGUAGACAAAUCUAUAAUGGGAAGAGUGGUUGAUAGUGGAAGAUGAGGUCGUUGUGAUGGUGGAAGAACAUAACGUUGAGGUAUAGAAGACACUCCAAGCUUAUCAAGACUCACAGCACUGGCAAAUGAAGAAGCACCAUUUCCUUGUUGCUCCAUUGUUUCUCUUCCCAAAUCUUAUCUUCGAUGCUAUUGAUUUGAGACAGAGCCAGUCUCAAAUAUAUUUAUAAGCGUCUCUAGUGGAUAUGUCACAUUCAUGACAGUCCUCUUCUGUAUUUUCUCAGAUUGUUCACUUACAUUGUACAUGCAAGAAAGUACAAAAAAAUGUCUUUCGUUCGGAAGUGAGUGUGGAUUAAAUGGUAGUAAGCCCUAGAUUUGAGUGAUGAUGAGAGUUGAAGUCAAAAGGGAACAAAAAAGAGAGCAAAGUGAUGAAGGAAUUUUAAUGGAGUUAGUGCUAGUGGGAAAAAAAAAAGGUGGCUUGGCUUUAUUUGGUCUUUUUACUAGAAGAAGUACAAGUACAUCGUGCAUGGAGAGAUUGUUGGCUUGGUUUGACUUUGGUUACACGUAGCAGUUCAGCAGCUGUAAUAUAAGUGCUAUUGGAGAAACUUAAGAAUUGUGGGUUAUAUUUGUGGUUUGUGUUGUGGAAUCAGAUAUACAUGUCUAUUAAAAAAAAUAGUUUAUUUGAAUAUUA